rnacentral:rRNA from 1 species
UACGUAGGGGGCAAGCGUUGUCCGGAUUUAUUGGGCGUAAAGAGCGUGUAGGCGGCCAAGCAGGUCAGCUGUGAAAACUCGAGGCUCAACCUCGAGACGUCGGUUGAAACCGCUUGGCUAGAGUCCGGAAGAGGAGAGUGGAAUUCCCGGUGUAGCGGUGAAAUGCGUAGAUAUCAGGAGGAACACCUGUGGCGAAAGCGGCGCACUGGACCACAACUGACGCUGAGGCGCGAAAGCUAGGGGAGCAAACAGG